GCAUAUGAUGAAGCAAAUGAGUAUGAAUGAAGUCAUGAUACUGUAAAUGCUUUCUAAAAAUAUG
rnacentral:snoRNA from 1 species